GGAGGCGUAGCUCAGCUGGUUAGAGUGUUCGGUUCACAUCCGAAAGGUCGUGGGUUCGAGUCCCUCCGUCUCCACCA
rnacentral:tRNA from 5 species